rnacentral:lncRNA from 13 species
AUCCUCACCAGGAGGUGAGGAGCUACCAGUUUCCUGUCUCCUGGCACCUGAUGGGCAAUUUUCCAGCCAUUAAAUGCCAAGCCCUCUGGAAAGUGGCUGACCAGCGCAUUGACAAUCCAGACUUCAGUUGUGGAAAAUACAAUUACUGGCCUAAUUGCAGAAAUUUCACUUGGAAAAAAUUGAUCUGGGUCAGCAGGAGCUGUUUCUGCCUCGUCUUCAAGUCUUGUUUCCUGCACAUAGACACCAUAAUUAUAGGCGAAUUCAGCUGAGUUGAUGUAACAAGCAAGUAGAUGCCACAAAACUGGCAAGAUAAAAGGAAAACCAAGAAAAUUGAAGAUGACUACUUUGUAUUCCACUUUUCCUAAGACUGGGAACUUCAGAAAUCCGCAAACUAAAAGUGUAGGCUACCUAAACUUAAGUUAAAGAAGCAAAAGGGGAUGAAAAUGUAUAUUCUC